CGGACUGUAGGCUGCAACUCGCCUACACGAAGUCGGAAUCGCUAGUAAUCGCGGAUCAGCAUGCCGCGGUGAAUACGUUCCCGGGCCUUGUACACACCGCCCGUCACACCAUGGGAGUCUGUAACGCCCAAAGUCGGUGGCCUAACCUUUAUGGAGGGAGCCGCCUAAGGCGGGACAGAUGACUGGGGUGAAGUCGUAACAAGGUAUC
rnacentral:rRNA from 1 species